UACGUAGGCAGCGAGCGUUGUUCGGAGUUAUUGGGCGUAAAGGGCGCGUAGGCGGUUUCUUAAGUUUGAAGUGACAGUGGGUGGCUUAACUACCCAAGGCCUUUGAAAAUUGGGGAACUUGAGGACCAGAGAGGGACAUAGAAUUCCGGGUGGAGUGGUGAAAUGCGUAGAUAUCCGGAGGAAUACCAAAGGCGAAGGCAGUGUCCUGGAGGGUUAACUGACGCUGAGGCGCGAAAGCUAGGGGAGCGAACAGG
rnacentral:rRNA from 1 species